rnacentral:misc_RNA from 1 species
UAGGGAGACCUACCCAUUGAGGAAUCGAAAGCGGAGAGCGAAUAGAGAAUCAAAUGGUCUACUCUAGGUCGGUCGAGAAUUGGUCAAGUCCCUUUCAAAGUAUUAUAUUUCCGGUGGUCCCCAGCAACUAGGAAAGACCUAGACUGCUGGUGAUGAACCAGCCAGAACCUUGAAAACUGCAUAUAGAAAGAUAAGAGUAAAGAGUAAGU